UGGGGAAUAUUGGACAAUGGGCGCAAGCCUGAUCCAGCCAUGCCGCGUGAGUGAUGAAGGCCUUAGGGUUGUAAAGCUCUUUCGACGGGGACGAUAAUGACGGUACCCGUAGAAGAAGCCCCGGCUAACUUCGUGCCAGCAGCCGCGGUAAUACGAAGGGGGCUAGCGUUGCUCGGAAUCACUGGGCGUAAAGGGCGCGUAGGCGGCCAUUCAAGUCAGAGGUGAAAGCCCAAGGCUCAACCUUGGAACUGCCUUUGAUACUGUUUGGCUUGAGACCGGUAGAGGUAAGUGGAACUGCGAGUGUAGAGGUGAAAUUCGUAGAUAUUCGCAAGAACACCAGUGGCGAAGGCGGCUUACUGGACCGGUUCUGACGCUGAGGCGCGAAAGCGUGGGGAGCAAACAG
rnacentral:rRNA from 1 species